GAUGAACGCUGGCGGCGUGCCUAAUACAUGCAAGUCGAGCGAACAGACGAGGAGCUUGCUCCUCUGACGUUAGCGGCGGACGGGUGAGUAACACGUGGAUAACCUACCUAUAAGACUGGGAUAACUUCGGGAAACCGGAGCUAAUACCGGAUAAUAUAUUGAACCGCAUGGUUCAAUAGUGAAAGACGGUUUUGCUGUCACUUAUAGAUGGAUCCGCGCCGCAUUAGCUAGUUGGUAAGGUAACGGCUUACCAAGGCAACGAUGCGUAGCCGACCUGAGAGGGUGAUCGGCCACACUGGAACUGAGACACGGUCCAGACUCCUACGGGAGGCAGCAGUAGGGAAUCUUCCGCAAUGGGCGAAAGCCUGACUGAGCAACGCCGCGUGAGUGAUGAAGGUCUUCGGAUCGUAAAACUCUGUUAGUAGGGAAGAACAAAUGUGUAAGUAACUAUGCACGUCUUGACGGUACCUAAUCAGAAAGCCGCGGCUAACUACGUG
rnacentral:rRNA from 1 species